CGUUGCAGGGCAGUUCAUGGAUCAGUUCCUUUAUCCUCCAGGGACUGCCUGCAUACU
rnacentral:pre_miRNA from 1 species